AUGACUCCAGUUCCGUUUAGCCCUGCAGGACAGAGCUUUUCCCCAGUCUCACCACCACGACAUGGCCGCCACGCCCCACACACACCCUCGGCUCAGACCAACAGACCUGCCAGAGAGGAGCGAGCGAGGGAGGGAGAGGAGAGAGGGAAUGAGGAACGGAGAGCAAAGUACCCCACAGAGAGAGAACCUGGAGAGGGCAUUGACUCAGAACACAUCACUGCGUUUGGAUCCACAGACUCUGAAAAACGACAGAGGGCAGGAGGGAGGGGGGAGGAGAGGAAACGAGAGAAUGAGAGAAAAGACGAGGCAGAGUCCGUAGUAGAUGGCUGCAUCCCUGGAAAGGAAGCAUCUACCAAGGACAAAAACACACUCGACACACCGAGCUCUCUUUCUCCAACAGACCAAAGUCCCCACCUCACCAGCUCCGCUGGCUCCGACACAGACUACGAGAGCGAGACCCUGUCCAGCCACUCCAAAGCCCGAGCCCAGACCACCAGGGCUGAGGGAGACCUACAGAGGGAGAACAGAGAGCUGCGUUCAGAGCUGCAGGACGUUAAGGAUGAGUUACAAAGGAGACUGGAGGAUCUGGAGACCCAGCGCAGAGCGGAGGCCGAGGCCAGGACCAGGCUCAAGCAGCUCACCCGCAAACACGCCUCCCAGACCAAGACCUCCAGAGAGACGGAGGAGGAGGAGGAGGAGAGGGCAGAGAUGGGGAGGUUGAAGGAGGCACUGGCUGAACUUGAGAUACAGGUCAGGACAGAUGCAGAGGACAGGGAGAGAGUGGAGGAAAGGAAAGGGAGGGAGAGAGACGACCGGGAGUCUGAAAGCAUGCUGCUGAAUCUCCAGCUAAAGAAGCAGCUGGCUGAGUUGAAGACUGAGCUCUUGAUAGAACAGGAGGAGAGAGAAAGGGAAAAGGAGGAGGAGAGGAAGAGAUUGAAAAACAAAGGGAUCGAAGGAACGAUUGAACUUACUGUGAAGCUGGAAGAGCUCCAGGCAGAGUUGGAGGAGCUGAAGAACCGUGGAGGUCUUGAAAGGAAGAACAUGGUAGAUAAAAACACCCCUCUGACAUAUCUCACCAUGCACCGUGACAUCCCCUCUAACUCCAACAAGCUACUACCAUUUCCAGACCAGCACCAUCUCCUGUGUGAGUCCACCACUGUUGUCCCGCAGGCAACAACAGCUGAUCUGAUCCGGGAAGAAGGAACUCUGAACAAAGCACCAGAACUCUCCAGACCUAUUGGUGAGGGAGAGGCCAUUGUGGAGGCUCAGAGGGGUAUGUCUGCCUCUGAGCUGGGUGAAACCACUGUGGAAGCUGAGAAAGGGAUAUCUUCCUCAGACCAGGGAGAGACCAAUAAAGACACUCUGAGAGGUGUAUCUCCCUUGGACAUGGAGAAAACCCCACUGGCACUCCAGAGUGCAGGCUUCUCUGCCUCAGAGCUAGCCCAAGAGGUGGAGCGUCUGCGGGGGGAGAGUGCCAGGGAGGCUGGGCGAGCUAUACACUCCCAGGCAAAGCUGGAAGCUUUACAGAGCCAGGUGACCAGGCAGACCCAGCAGCUGACCCUGGCCUUCGACCACCAGAGCAGACACAUCCAGGACCUGCUGGCAGAGCUGCAGGAGAAGGAGGGCGGCCUUCUCAGGCAGGGAAAGGAACUGCAGCGCUGCAGAGAUGAACUGGCCACGCUCAGACAGGGGAUGGAGAAAGAGAGAGAGACACGAGAGGAAGAGAGACAGGAGGAGGAGAUAAAGAGCACUAGGGUAACUAUAACCCCUCAGCAGGCUGACCAUUAUACAGAUAUACAUCAGAUCACACAUAGCACUCAGAAUAAGUCUGCCUCCGGGAUAGAAGAGACUACAGACAUAACAAUCAACCCACUGAACACUACCCAGGCUUCCUCUACACUUUGUGAUGAGGGAGGUCAGCUGACCACUCCACAGAAAAACUGUGUCACUGAAUGGCAUGAUGUAACAGAUAGCAGUACCACUCUGGGCGGCCAUCCUGCUGAACAUAAUACAGAGAAGAUGGUGGAUUCUAAGGCUUCUGCCCAGCCAGGCAGGAGUGAAGAGACGAGAAACAAAGAGAAAUUCAAAUCUGACAGUUUAACUGUAGUAUGUUCCAAAGGGCAGAUGGAACCGUCUGAGAGUUCUGAGAUGAAACGCAUCCGUAGUGAAGAACAACAUUCAACGAAGGAGUUACAGCUAUCCCAGAGAGACCCGAGUCUAACCAGGACUGAGAACACAUGUCUUACUGCAGAGCUGGAGAAAGCUUCUGGUCCUAUCAACAGACCAGAAGACACCAGGGGACAGGAGAGACAAGAUAGCAGAGGAGAGAGUUUGGCUGUAGAGCUGCAGUCUCUAAAACAGAAGAACGAACUGCUGAAACUGACACUUCCAGAUGUGGCAAACACAGACCAAGAAACUAGUUCUGUCAGUAACACAACACUACCAGCGACUUGUGAAGAACCGGCUGAAAGAAAAGCAAAGAGAAGGAAAAGAAAGAAGCAGAGAGGAGGACAGGAAGUUAAUUCCACCUCUGGAGAGCUAAAGCAAAUCAGUGACAUCACCUCGGGACGUGAGGCCACACUGCAUGAUGGAGGGAAACCUGUAGACGAGGAGAGAGGGGGAGUAGAGUUUGACAGAGGGAGGGAGACGGGAGCUGGGAUAGGGAGGAUGAGAGGUGGGAGUAGAGUUGGACCCAGAGGGAGGGGAGACGGAGCUGUGGUGGGAUGA
ensembl:lncRNA